rnacentral:rRNA from 1 species
AUAAGGAUCGGCUAACUNCGUGCCAGCAGCGCGUAUNNACGGAGGAUNCGAGCGUAUCNNGGANUAUUGGUUNAAAGGGUGCGCAGGCGGGGAUNUAGUCAGGGGGUGAAAGACGGUGGCUCANCCAUCGCAGUGCCUUUGAUACUGGAUUCCUGAAAUAUACNUGAGGUAGGCGGAAUGUGGCAAGUAGCGGUGAAAUGCAUAGAUAUGCCACAGAACACCGAUUGCGAAGGCAGCUUACCAAAGUAUGAUUGACGCUGAGGCUCGAAAGCGUGGGGAUCGAACAGGAUUAGAUACCCUGGUAGUCCACGCCCUAAACGAUGAACACUCGAUGUCGGCGAUAGACAGUCGGCAUCCAAGCGAAAGCGUUAAGUGUUCCACCUGGGGAGUACGCCCGCAAGGGUGAAACUCAAAGGAAUUGACGGGGGCCCGCACAAGCGGAGGAGCAUGUGGUUUAAUUCGAUGAUACGCGAGGAACCUUACCCGGGCUUGAAAGUUACUGAAGAUAGCAGAGAUGUUAUCGUCCUUCGGGACAGGAAACUAGGUGCUGCAUGGCUGUCGUCAGCUCGUGCC